UUUGAUGGCGACCGGCGCACGGGUGAGUAACACGUAUCCAACCUGCCGAUGACUCGGGGAUAGCCUUUACGAAAGAAAGAUUAAUACCCGAUGGCAUAGUUCUUCCGCAUGGUAGAACUAUUAAAGAAUUUCGGUCAUCGAUGGGGAUGCGUUCCAUUAGGUUGUUGGCGGGGUAACGGCCCACCAAGCCUUCGAUGGAUAGGGGUUCUGAGAGGAAGGUCCCCCACAUUGGAACUGAGACACGGUCCAA
rnacentral:rRNA from 1 species